AGCCAAGAGGAACGCACUCUAGGAGGGAAGUAUGAUCUCUUAGGAGCAAAAGAUGGAGGUCCGUGGUAUGAACACAGUGAACUCCAGUAUAGCAACAGCCUUUACUGGCCUCAUGCAGUGCUCUCAGGAACAGUGUGUGCUGUCUGGCUGCCUCCUCUGGGGACCCACCAGGCACCAAUGAGAACAGCCUGGUUUGGAGAUCCUUCCAGAAAGUUCUGUUAGCCUUGUGAUGGGCAGCAAGGACAGCACUUUAGUUUUUUUAUGAAAUGAUAGGACACCGAGUGGAGGCAAGAAGAAGGAUCAAAGAUUUGGGGUAGGAAUUUCAGCUGCAAACAUUCCCGAUCCUGUUUGCAGGAACUGCAGCCUCCAGGAGAUUCAGCCUGCUCUCCAAGCCAUCCCUGUCCCUGCCGGACUCCAACAGCAGCUGUGAUCUGGAGUUUGUCCAUUAGACCAGACCAAGUGGCCAGUGAACCGCAGGGACCCGCCUGUCUCUGCUGCCUCAGUGCUGGGAUUGCAGGAGCAUGCACCACGCCCAUCUUUUCAUGGGGGUUCUGGGAACAAGCUCUGUUUCUCAAGAUG
ensembl:antisense Gm14154 predicted gene 14154